rnacentral:rRNA from 1 species
UUGGGAAUCGUACGCAAUGGACGCAAGUCUGACGUCGCGACACCGCGUGGAGGAAGAAGGCUUUCGGGUUGUAAACUCCUUUUGUCAGGGACGAUUAUGACGGUACCUGGCGAAUAAGCACCGGCUAACUACGUGCCAGCAGCCGCGGUAAUACGUAGGGUGCAAGCGUUAUCCGGAAUUAUUGGGCGUAAAGAGCGCGUAGGCGGUUUGAUAAGUUGCCUGUUAAAUCUCCAGGCUCAACCUGGAGCGUGCAGGCAAAACUAUCAGACUUGAGGAUAGUAGGGGCAAGCGGAAUUCCCGGUGUAGGAGUGAAAUCCGUUGAUAUCGGGAGGAACACCAAUGGCGAAGGCAGCUUGCUAGGCUAUAUCUGACGCUGAGGCGCGAAAGCGUGGGGAGCGAACGGG